rnacentral:rRNA from 1 species
GACGAACGCUGGCGGCGUGCCUAAUACAUGCAAGUAGAACGCUGAAGAGAGGAGCUUGCUCUUCUUGGAUGAGUUGCGAACGGGUGAGUAACGCGUAGGUAACCUGCCUUGUAGCGGGGGAUAACUAUUGGAAACGAUAGCUGAUACCGCAUAACAAUGGAUGACACAUGUCAUUUAUUUGAAAGGGGCAAUUGCUCCACUACAGGAUGGACCUGCGUUGUAUUAGCUAGUAGGUGAGGUAAUGGCUCACCUAGGCGACGAUACAUAGCCGACCUGAGAGGGUGCUCGGCCACACUGGGACUGAGACACGGCCCAGACUCCUACGGGAGGCAGCAGUAGGGAAUCUUCGGCAAUGGGGGCAACCCUGACCGAGCAACGCCGCGUGAGUGAAGAAGGUUUUCGGAUCGUAAAGCUCUGUUGUAAGUCAAGAACGGGUGUGAGAGUGGAAAGUUCACACUGUGACGGUAGCUUACCAGAAAGGGACGGCUAACUACGUG